rnacentral:rRNA from 1 species
UGGGGAAUUUUGGACAAUGGGCGAAAGCCUGAUCCAGCAAUGCCGCGUGUGUGAAGAAGGCCUUCGGGUUGUAAAGCACUUUUGUCCGGAAAGAAAUCCUUGGCUCUAAUACAGUCGGGGGAUGACGGUACCGGAAGAAUAAGCACCGGCUAACUACGUGCCAGCAGCCGCGGUAAUACGUAGGGUGCAAGCGUUAAUCGGAAUUACUGGGCGUAAAGCGUGCGCAGGCGGUUUGCUAAGACCGAUGUGAAAUCCCCGGGCUCAACCUGGGAACUGCAUUGGUGACUGGCAGGCUAGAGUAUGGCAGAGGGGGGUAGAAUUCCACGUGUAGCAGUGAAAUGCGUAGAGAUGUGGAGGAAUACCGAUGGCGAAGGCAGCCCCCUGGGCCAAUACUGACGCUCAUGCACGAAAGCGUGGGGAGCAAACAGAUUAGAUACCCUGGUAGUCCACGCCCUAAACGAUGUCAACUAGUUGUUGGGGAUUCAUUUCCUUAGUAACGUAGCUAACGCGUGAAGUUGACCGCCUGGGGAGUACGGUCGCAAGAUUAAAACUCAAAGAAUUGACGGGGUCNUAGCUGUUUCCU